GAAGACCUGGGACUUUUCUCUACUAAAACUUUGGUGGAAGCUAACAAUGAACAUAUGGUAGAAGUGAGGACACAGUUGUUGCAGCCAGCAGAUGAAAACUGGGAUCCCACUGGAACAAAGAAAAUCUGGCAUUGUGAAAGUAAUAGAUCUCAUACUACAAUUGCUAAAUAUGCACAGUACCAGGCCUCCUCAUUCCAGGAAUCAUUGAGAGAAGAAAAUGAAAAAAGAAGUCAUCAUAAAGACCACUCAGAUAGUGAAUCUACAUCGUCAGAUAAGUAAGUCAUUUUUAAUGUCCACUUAGUAUUUCUUUUUAAAAGGCAUGUUUCUAAUCCUGUGUCUCUUUUUUAAGUUCUGGGAGGAGGAGGAAAGGACCCUUUAAAACCAUAAAGUUUGGGACCAAUAUUGACCUAUCUGAUGACAAAAAGUAAGUCCUUGUAGUAAUAUUUCUGUGAACUGAUGCAAAGAGUUAUCCUGUGCUAGAUUGGGAAUUCUGUACAAUUUCCUCUUCUGUUUCAUUUAUUUUCUUUUCUUUUUUUUAAGUUGACAUGAAUUUAAGCUAAACUUUUUC
rnacentral:lncRNA from 1 species